AAUAAAACAAAGAAACAAAAGAAAUAAAGAAAGAAAAAGAACAUGAAACGAAACAGAGAAGAACAGGGUAGAAAGAAAGGAAAGAAAGGGAGAAAAGGGAAAAUUAGGUUUUGAAGCUUUAAAUUUUAAUAGCUAGCGUUGUGCCGGAAAAUCUCGGCUAGGCAAGGAAAAGACAAAGCCGACGAAGGAUAGCUCGAAAAUUACGGAUAAGUUAAAGUCAGACCGUUGAAUCAACAUCUCAGUCCGAUCCUGAAUUCAAUGAGGUAAAACAUGUUUUAUUGGUAAUGGCAUGUACCUAGAAUGUCUCAGGAGAACCAUUUAAAUUGUGAAUGUAUUGACUAAAUAAGUAAAUUAAGGUUAGUAACGGUGUUUAGUAGGAAUUGACUUAAUUGGUAUGAAUUUAAGGUAUUUGAUAAUGUAAGUAAAUACUUUAAAAGGGACCAAUGGAUAGGCAUAUAAGAUAUCUAAUUAGACAUGUUUUGGGAA